UACAGAGGGUGCGAGCGUUAAUCGGAAUUACUGGGCGUAAAGCGCGCGUAGGCGGCUUUGCAAGUCGAGUGUGAAAUCCCCAGGCUUAACCUGGGAACUGCAUUCGAGACUGCAUGGCUAGAGUAUGGGAGAGGGAAGUGGAAUUUCAGGUGUAGCGGUGAAAUGCGUAGAUAUCUGAAGGAACACCGGUGGCGAAGGCGGCAUCCUGGACCGGCAUUGACGCUGAGGCGCGAAAGCCAGGGGAGCAAACGGG
rnacentral:rRNA from 1 species